UCCCACAAAAAAAUUCACCCAACUCCCCUUUCUUUUCCCUCGACACAAAACCCUAGCCACGUCUUGGCAUAGACAACUUUCUUUCAACUCAAACCCUUAGCUCUUUCCCAUUAUUUGAUAUACCUCACCCAAAUUUCUUCUAACAUCUACUAUCUGGAAAUAUCAGAUCUCCUUCACUCACAUCACAUAUAAUCCCCAUAACAUCAAAAUUAAUAGCCUCGACUUUUUUCAUCAACUUAUCAAAUUAACGUUAGGGCUUGUUUAAAUCUCUGUUAAAAUUGAAGAUUCAAGAUUUAGGGUUUCUAUAGAUCUCUGUAACCUUUUUUUUUCAUUGUGGAUUUUUACAAAUACUUUAAUUUGUUGUGAAAUUUGUGUGUUUCUGUACCAAAGUUAGCAUUUGUUAGGGUUUAAUUUUUUUCUUUCAAUUUAUGCUGAUGAUAGAGGUAAUUGCGUUCAAUUUGGGUUUUUUUCUUUCCUUUUAAGUUAUACUUUGUCUCGACAACUACAAUUUCUUUUUUUAUUCUUGUUCGUUCCUCUAAUUUCAACUGCAAUGAUGGUUAUGAAUUGAAAAACUCAUUCAAUCUGAGCUGAAUUUUUCGGUUAACAUUUUUAUACUGACAACAAUUAGAAAUUUUAGGUUUGAAGUUUUUGUUUUUGAUUGUUCUUAUCCAUUCUUUUCACUGAUUUUUAAGUUAUUUUGAAAGAACUCUUUUCAAUUUUAGUUUGUUUUCAAAAGAAUUUGGGUAAUUUUGGAUCGAAGUCUAUUUCUUCUCACUUCUGAAGAAUAUUAGAUGUGGGUUUGUUGAUUAGGUUAAAAUAGAAAUAAAUUGUGGGUUUGAUCUUGAUAGAUGUUAUGUUUGAGAUACACUAUUUAUCGUCGGAAGAGUGAGUAUCUCAAUCUCAAAUUUGUAUUUGAGCAUAAUUUCAUGGAUUUUGUUGAUUUCCUCCUGAUUUAUCAUCAUCUGAUGUUAUCCCUAGUUCAGUUUUUUUUGGUUUGUCAGAUGGUAAGUAUUCGUUGGACUUUAAUGUUUUUUUUUCCUUCUGGAAGUUCCAUUGUUGAACUUGUAUAUGAAUUAAGGUUUAAUUAUGUGUUUAUUUAUCUUCAGUUUUGGUAUUUGAUUCAACUAAUUCAAUUUUAGUGUUGGGCAGUUGCAAAUGUACCGUCCACAAACAAAUGUUGAAGUUGUUUUUGACAAUUAUGAACAGGAUUUCUUAUUAUUAUUGAUAGCAGUUGAGGGUUCUUCUUCAACAGAAGCAUGCUCUUCGAUAGUUUGUGGGCAUACAGGGAAGGUGUUGUUAUAGGCAACAUACUUAGUAUGUUGCUGAUAUUUGUCUUGAUCAUGUUUGGAUUUCUGUUAUCAUGAUCUUGUUUUGUAUGUUUUCAGUUGUAUUUUGCUUGGUUCUCAUGAAGUUAGGAUUUCUCCAUACCCUGAUUUGCUCAACACACCGAUUUUCAGUCCUAAUCCCAGGUAGAAGAAGAGGGAAGAUGGGAUUCACCGUCACUGUUGAAGAUGAAGGUUAUCUUAUAGUCGGCCUUAUGUCUAUUAAGUUUUAGGUCAUUUUUGUUAAUGAGGUGCAUCAUGCAUUGCCAUUUGUUGGAUCAGAAAAUCAAAUGGUGAGAAGUAUAGUUGGAGCUAGAGUUGGGAUGGUAGGAAGUGGAAUCAUAGCUAGAGAUGGUCUGGUCAAGAAUGGGAUUCGAGAUGAGCACUUGGAAGUGGGAUUAGACAUGGAAUAAGCAACAACUUCUGAUUUGCUUAUCGAGGGAGUUGGGGCCUGGGUUGCUGAGUCUAAGACUUAUUCAUACCGAUUUGAAGCCAGAAAACAUUCUGUUUGUUUCUCCGGAGUACAUCAGGGUGCCCGAUUACAAGAAACCCGUUUGGUGAUUCAGUUUUUUGAUUUUGAUAGCAAUGGCAAGCACAAACUUAUAUGUUGCAGAAUUGGAGAUAGUUCACAAAAACAAACAGGGAGAUCAAAGUAAGGGGAUUGAGGCACAAGUUUUUCUGGAUAGCUAUAUCGAGGAAAGUCUUUAUAGGUUUUCUGACUACAUUUGAGUUGCUGUUAAUUCUAUAGCUCCAAAUGGAGAUUCCUCAAUCAAUUGGAUACCUAUCAGCAGGUGAAUUUACAUUGUUUUAGUUUGCUUCAUCAGAGAUUCACUUCCCGGCAGAUUGAAAGGAUUUUAUCCUGCCAUCAGAAAUGAGAUUUGCAGGUUGCAAGUUCUAAAGAUGGUGAAUGAAAUCUUAAACAUUUUUAAGAAGAAGACUGCACCUAAAUAGGCACUUAGGGUUUAGGUUUAGAUUUUUAUCAUCAGACCUUCCCCAACUUACAACGGUAUGACUACUACAUGACUAAACGUUCUCCUCAACAAGUCACUAAGUUACAGUUACUACUCACCGCUGAAGGGUUACGUUUCUCCCUAUUGUCUUCAAAGCAUCUCUUCUCAAGCGGAUGUCUUCGUUAUUGAUAGAUAGUAUGGGAGAACAACACCAUAAUCUGAAUUACCUAAAACUAAAAAUGUACAGGGGAAGAACAAGAAGCUUACCGAAAUCUGAAAACGUAUCAAGUAUUUUGAUUCUAUCCAAAUUCGACAAGAAUAUCAACAAGGCACUUGUUAGUUGUGAAUCUAUCAAGUUAAAAACGGGUAUCAACGCCCAAUUAUAUUGCAAAGGAGAUUUAGACAGCUAAAGAGUUGAAGUCAAAGCCAAUAUGGAUACUCAAGUAAAUGGAAGUAUGUGGGGUAUGGUUAGACCCUUUGAAGGUGACUUUGUUCACAUUUGAUAAUGAUGAAAGGACGGAUACAUUUUGGCAUUCAAGUGCUCAUAUUCUUGAAGAGGCACUCGAGAGGCAGUAUUGAUGGAAGCUGUGCAUUGGUCCAUGCACCUGAAGAGGAGAAAGAACCAUUUAAGCACAUUGGCAGCAAGCGCUUAAAAUGUUUUUAGAAAGCAAUUUCAAGGUUGAAAUCACUAAUGAGUUGCCAGAAGACAAGGCGACCACUGUUCAUGAAUGUGGACCGUUGGUUGUUUUGUGUGCUAGCUACUGAAUCCAACUGCUUAAGGAGGAUGUAAAGAGCGUACGGCGUAGUAACAGAGGAUGAUAGUGUCAUUGUGGUUUGGGAUUCUUUUCUUUGAUUUGAGUUGUGGGAUGUUUACAGGUUUAUACAAGGCGUGGAAAGCGAUUCAUGCCAACCAUGAUGAUGGGAUCAGAUGAGUGCUUGGAGUUACCACUUGUCACAAAGAACGGAUCAUUGUAUGUAUGGGAUCUAUUCAAUAGGACUUAUCUUCUGAAUAAUUCGCUCACUUCUCUGAUUAGUUCGGGUUUCAAAGAUUCAGGUACAGAAAAUAAUUAUAUCAGUGGAUCUAUUUGUUAAUUUGUUCAGUGUGGUUUAUAUUUGUCUAGUAGAAGUUUAGCUGUAAUUUGUAUUUAAAGCUUACUGUCUUUCAAAAAUGAUGAACACUGAGGUUAUUUUUUGAAUAUUUUAUUGUCCAGUAUCAUGUCUCCGAAGUCGUGACUCUGAGAAAAAACUUACAUUUUU